rnacentral:rRNA from 1 species
CAGCACCUCAAGUGGUCAGGAUGAUUAUUGGGCCUAAAGCAUCCGUAGCCGGCGCUGUAAGUUUUCGGUUAAAUAUGUACGCUCAACGUACAGGCUGCCGGGAAUACUGCAGCGCUAGGGAGUGGGAGAGGUAGACGGUACUCGGUAGGAAGGGGUAAAAUCCUUUGAUCUAUUGAUGACCACCUGUGGCGAAGGCGGUCUACCAGAACACGUCCGACGGUGAGGGAUGAAAGCUGGGGGAGCAAACCGGAUUAGAUACCCGAGUAGUCC